GCAACUUCUUUGUUUCAAUCAAGGUUGGCAAGCCCCCAAUGUGUUCACUCUGUCACCUAUUAAUUCGUUGGCUUGUCUCAUUCACUGGAGGGUCAUAGUAACGACUUGCAAAUAUCUCUCUCUCGAAAAAAGGGAAGAAUUUGCAACCUUCUGUGAUGAAACUGGGACCCAAUUACACUUGGAAGUACCUAAAAAUGUCAGGACCACUGCAUUAGGAGAACCGCAAGGGUUUCAAAGAAGUUGCCACAGGGGAUCAUAACUCAUUACAAAUUACAGUUACCCCCAAUCCCCCCAAAAAGCCGAGGUUGCAGUACAAUGAAACGGAAGCCAAUUCUUCACAAUCUCAGGUAACAUCCAAUCCUUGCGACAAUUCUACCAUGCUAUCCAAUGAAGUGGAUGCUAUAGAUUGUCAUUUUCAUUUAGACCGUACGGGGAGCAGAGUACUAAAGAAAUCACACAAUCUAUCACCUGAUGAUCUCCUUACUGAGAUCUUGGAGUUUCGGCAGGUGGUGAGUCCUCUGGUUCCUGUGAGGUUACUGGGAAUGGUCGCCAAUUUUUGUGAUCCGGAUAGCUACCCAACCCUCUUUCCCUCGGAUUCUAGACUCAAGAUAUCCAUUGGUCUCCAUCCGAGGAAAGUACGAGAAUUCUCCCAGAAACUACUUGGCGAUCUGGUUGGAAUUCUAAAUAAUCCAGCAACAGUUGGACUUGGGGAAAUAGGUUUGGACUGGACAGAGCCUAGGAUCACACGGUCUACACAAAUACAGGUGUUUAAGGAUUUGCUUCGGGUUUCUGACACAAACAGGGUGCUUAUUCUCCACCUAAGGGGAGAAAUCCCUGCUGACUUUUCCGUGUUCCACACCGGACUGGAAAUCGUUAGUUCCAUUUGUCGGAAAUCCCAGCCUAUCCACCUCCAUUGUUUCAGUGGAGAUUUAUCCGUAGUCGCAUCUUGGGCGACGUCUUUUCCAAAUUGCUAUUAUGGAUUCAAUGCCAAUGUGGCCCAUUUCGGACCUCAGCAGGUAGCGGCGCUCCGGGCGAUUUCGUUAGACCGAAUUCUCUUGGAAACCGAUGCCCCUUAUUCGCCCCCUGUAAAGGGGAUCUCCAAGAGUGUAAAAUAAUCAACACUCCUGCAUUCGUAGGAGAUGUUGCCAAGUUGGUUUCCGAAGUCCGUGGGGUCGCCUUGGAUCGCUUGCUACAUGCUUCGGUAAAGAAUGCCAAGGAUUUAUACAAAUUCUAAAGAAACAAGUUUCAGUUUGACCUGAGUAGAUAUUCUUUUUUUGUAUUAUUUUUGUACAUUUGUUCACAGGUUCACUAUAAUUUUUACCCGGGAAAUCUUGUCUGACUAUUUGACCCUGAUUUGGGUAAUAAUAUUGAUACAUUCCAGAAUGAUCAGUCGGAAUUCCAGAUAAUCCUGGAAAACUGGCCUGAUUUCAUUUCCCUAGUAACUGGACGGAUAACUAAAUUGUAAAUAUGUACGUUGGUGUAUAAUAAUUUUAAAGGUUUUAUUAAAUUUGGGGACGUAUUUUAAAUAAUAUGGGUUUUUAUAUAAAUGAGUUUUAAAAUUAUAUUUUCCUUUGGUCAAUAUCAAUAAUCUUGGAUGCGCAUCCUGGUUAUCACACACACACCAAACUUGGUAAUUUGGGUUACCUUAUUAAUUCUAAAUGGUGAUGACCGGUUCCAUAAAAUGGGGAGGAGUGUCGUAGCCCUACACUUUGUCAGUUUACGGAGGUAACUACUGCCGACGAUCAUCAGCUCGAUUAUGGGAGGAACAUGUUCCAUUCCACUAUUUACUUAAAUCAAGCAUACCGGAACUGACGUACGUGGGCGCGAGAAGUUGUCAAACCCCACUCUUUCACCAGCUUUCCUUCAGUAAACAUCAAAACUUCUACUUCUACCGACUUUAGUCGACUACGAACAGGUUCGUGAUCAGUGGGCAUGUUCAGGUCAUUGAGUAUCAUGAUAUAGGAGACAACGUUCCAUAUUGUGCUGUGAGAGCCAAAGUCACUCCUUCGCAGAGAAUUACUGAAAAACCUCACCUACCAUGGGCUUAUCUGAA